GAUGAACGCUAGCGGCAGGCCUAAUACAUGCAAGUCGAACGAGAUUAUCCAGCUUGCUGGAUAUGAAAGUGGCGCACGGGUGCGUAACGCGUAUGCAACCUACCUUAAUCAGGGGGAUAGCCCGGAGAAAUCCGGAUUAACACCGCAUAAAAUCACAGGAUAGCAUUAUCCAAUGAUCAAAUAUUAAUAGGAUUAAGAUGGGCAUGCGUGUCAUUAGCUAGUUGGCGGGGUAACGGCCCACCAAGGCGACGAUGACUAGGGGCUCUGAGAGGAGAAUCCCCCACACUGGUACUGAGACACGGACCAGACUCCUACGGGAGGCAGCAGUAAGGAAUAUUGGUCAAUGGAGGCAACUCUGAACCAGCCAUGCCGCGUGCAGGAAGACUGCCCUAUGGGUUGUAAACUGCUUUUAUACCGGAAUAAACCUCUAUUCGUGAAUGGAGCUGAAUGUACGGUAAGAAUAAGGAUCGGCUAACUCCGCGCCAGCAGCCGCCGUAA
rnacentral:rRNA from 1 species